AAACAUAUUAUUUCUUGUUUAAAAGUUCACGCGGUGUGCGUAAGUAGUGAGUAUUGGGGAUGGUUUAUCAAUUACUUUCGCUUCGGAAAAAUGUCAAACGGCAAAAGCCAAACAGGAACUUCGGAGAGAGGGAUAGAGAGAGAGACAGUGAGAGAGAGAGAGUAUUACACGGGUUUUCAAUUACCGCUCCGGGACCUCGGUCGAGC